rnacentral:rRNA from 1 species
CCCUUAGAUGUUCUGGGCCGCACGCGCGCUACACUGAUGCAUUCAACGAGUAAUCUUUGACCUUGGUCGACAGAUCUGGGUAAUCUUUUGAAAUUGCAUCGUGAUGGGGCUUGCGGGUUGCAAUUACCCGCACCAACGAGGAAUUCCUAGUAAACGCAAGUCAUCAGCUUGCGUCGAUUACGUCCCUGCCCUUUGUACACACCGCCCGUCGCUCCUACCGAUUGGGUGUGCUGGUGAAAUGUUCGGAUCGGCCGUUUGUCGCGGUUUCCGCGGCUCGUGGCUGAGAAGUUCAUUAAACCCUCCCACCUAGAGGAAGGAGAAGUCGUAACA